rnacentral:rRNA from 1 species
UACGUAGGGGGCGAGCGUUGUCCGGAGUUACUGGGCGUAAAGGGCAUGCAGGCGGUCGGACGCGUUUUUGUGUGACAGCGGGUGGCUCAACUACCCGAGCAUGCGAAAGACGGUCGGACUUGAGGACUCGAGAGGGACACGGAAUUCCGGGUGGAGUGGUGAAAUGCGUAGAGAUCCGGAGGAACACCGAAGGCGAAGGCAGCCCUGGUCAG